rfam:Capsicum annuum cultivar Zunla-1 unplaced genomic scaffold scaffold9, whole genome shotgun sequence
UUGUCAUGGUUGGGACAUUGCAUGAGCUUUCCAUUGAAUCUUUCUCAUACUUCAUAAAGAGGUUCUCCAUUCAAUUGACAAAAGUUAAUGAUUUUAUCAUAUAUUU